UACGGAGGGAGCUAGCGUUGUUCGGAAUUACUGGGCGUAAAGCGCACGUAGGCGGCGAUUCAAGUCAGAGGUGAAAGCCCGGGGCUCAACCCCGGAACUGCCUUUGAAACUAGAUCGCUAGAAUCUUGGAGAGGUCAGUGGAAUUCCGAGUGUAGAGGUGAAAUUCGUAGAUAUUCGGAAGAACACCAGUGGCGAAGGCGACUGACUGGACAAGUAUUGACGCUGAGGAGCGAAAGCCAGGGGAGCAAACGGG
rnacentral:rRNA from 1 species